rnacentral:snRNA from 1 species
ACACUCAUGUUUCUCUUCAUAGCGUCUAAAUCUUUCGCCUUUUAUUAAAGAUUUCUGUGGGGAGGAGUACCAAGAGUAUAAUUAAAUUUUCUGAUGUUGUGUUUAAUUGCGGGGCU